UGCCUCCGCGGGCUUCCGUCUUCUUUUCUGAGCUCCGAGUUCGCCCUCGCCUCUCCCUCGCAGACACGGUCACACACAGCCACAGAACCGUGUGCCACGAUGAACGUGAGCUUUCUCUUCAGCCUCCCCCGCAGCCUGGCGGAGUUCAAGGGAGCGGGGAAGCUGCUGGCGGACGCGGCUGCGCUCCCUUUGGGGGAGCGCGGUGCGAAGGGCGACGUGGCGGUGCCUGGGCUGUUCUGCGGGUGCGACCCGGAGGACAGGCCGCUGGGCUCCGGCGGUGGCACGGUGCACCUGCUGCACGCGUGCUACGUGGACGAGCAGCGCCACGCACCUGCGUCCGCGAAGAGGUCGUUUCUGUCGUGGCUGCGGCUGGCGGACAACGAUGGCCGCGUGAUUGUGCACGCUGGCGGCCUGAGCCGCCGCCUGCCGGCGUACGCGGCGAUGGGCAAGGCGCUGCUGCCGCUGCCGCCGUGCCGGUGGCACCGUGGCAGCCAGCUGUCUCGCACGCUGCUCUCGACGCAGGUGCCGAUGUACCGGGGGAUAGUGACGACGGCGCCGGCCCGCCUGCGCACGCUGAUUGCGUGCGGUGACGUGUGCGUGGAUGCGAGGGGCGCGCUGCCGUCGCUUGCGCCGUUCGCGGACAGUGACGUGCUGUGCUUCGGCAUUCGCGCAGACGCGGACCUCUUGCAGAACCACGGCGUGCUCUUCAUGGCACGCGAGAGGCCACUCGACCUGGACUACAUGCUGCAGAAGCCGUCGCUGGACGAGGUCCGCCGGCGCGUGGCGGAGGGCAGGCACUCGGUUCUUCUGGACGUGGGCAUGUGGAUGCUGAGCGACCGCGCGGUGGAGGUGCUGGCUCGCAAGUGUCUGGGCGGUGCGCUGGACGCGGAGGACGCGACCGGCGGCGGGCACGACGGGCACCGCUGCACGGCGGUGCGCACCGCGUACGACCUGUACUCGGAGUUCGGUUCUGCGCUGGGCAACCACGCGCCGAGCGCGGACCCGGAGAUCGCGGGGCUGAAGGCGAGCGUUGUGGAGCUGCGCGACGCCGAGUUCCUGCAUUACGGGACGAACCGGCAGCUGAUCUCGGCGGCGGCGACGCUGCAGGGGCGCGAGUCGCCGACGCCGCCGUGGUCGUGGGCCGCGCCGUUCGACGGCGUGCUUGCGCCUGCGGGCGGCGCGACGGAGGAGCUGGACUUUGCUGCUGGUGACGCGAUGCCGCUGCUUGCGACGCCGUCGUCUGUGAUUGUGCAGAACUCCGUGGUGCUUGCGCCGCUGGACGGGUCCGCUGCGGCCGCUGCUGCGGAUGCGCCGGCCGGUGCGCCGCUGUCGCCUGUGCGGCAUCUGUGGGUGGAGAGCAGCUGGGUGGGCGCGCGGUGGGUGCUGCGGGACCAGCACAUCCUGACGGGGAUCCCGCGCAACGACUGGGCGCUCGCGCUGCCGCCCGGCGCGUGCGUGAGCGUCGUGCCUGUGCUGCCCGCUGCGCUUGGCGGCUGCGGGGGCGGUGCCGCGCCGCACGCUGCGCGGCCGUACCACAUGGACGACGCGUUCCGCGGCGACGUGCGCAGCGGCUCGACGAUGUACAUGGGUGUGCGCCUGCACGACUGGCUGUCGAGCCGCGGGUUCAGCGUAGCGGAGCUGUACCCUGCUGCGCGUGCUGCGGACGGCGGUGCUGCGCAGCCGCUGGACAUCAACGAGGCUGCGCUGUUCCCGGUGUGCGCGACGGAGCAGCAGCUCGGCGACUUCCUGUACGUUGCGACGCUGCCGCUGGAGGCUGCGACCGGCGGCUGCGCUGGCGCGGACGCUGCGCGGCUUGCCGCUGGGCAGGCUGUGUGGCGGACGCAGCCGCGCGUGUCUGCGAUGGACCUGCUGCGGCUGACGGACGUGCCUGCGAUGCUGCGCAACAGCGAGUACUACGAGCGGCGCAUGCUGACGCUGAUGCUUGCGCUUGUGGCGUCUGACCCCGCGGUGCUGUGUGCGCGGUCGCUGGUGCUGUCUGGCCCGAUGAUUGCGCUGCUGCAACAGCAGUUCUUCCUGCUGGACCUGAACCGCGUGGCCCAGCGCGUCGUGGAGCUGGGCGUGCCGCUGCCGCGGCGCAGCGGGCCGACGGAGUGGUGGGGCGGCGUGGACGCAGCUGGGAACGCGGUGGCGCUGUCGCGCCAGGCGGCCCCGGCGGCGCCGCUUGCGAAGGGCGCGGCUGCGAGUGCGGGGAGCUGGGCGCAGAUGUUCUCGGACGAGGGCAGCCCGAGCGGUGGCGGCAGGGGUGCGCCGCUGUGCACUGCGCCUGGCCGCAUCGUGGCGGCGCACUACCACGCGUUUGCGAGCCGCCUGAUGGAGCUCGCGCUGGAGGCGAUGGAUGCCGCGGAGCCGCCGGUGUCUGCGGCGGAGAAGGCGCGGCGCCUCGCGCUGCUGCGUGCGCCGAGCGCGGAGGAGGCCCGCUCGCUGGUGGCUCUGCACGAUGCCGCCGCGCUGGCGGAGCUACGCGCGGCCAUCAUGGACUCCUUUCCCGACGAGCGCCACGACCCGGAGAUGGGCGUGCACCUUGACCAAAUCGUCUGGGGCCGCUGCCCCAUCCGCAUCGACGUGGCGGGGGCAUGGACGGAUACGCCGCCAUACGCGAUCCUGAGCGGCGGCAGCGUGAUCAACGUUGCCGUGGAGCUGAACGGGCAGCCGCCGGUGCAGGUGUACGUGCGUGUGCGCGAAGACCCGAUCAUCGUCAUGCACUCGAUCGACUCCGGCGAGCAGCUGAGCGUCUCGAGCUUCGACGAGAUCCGCACGUACGCGACGAUGCAGAACCCGUUCUCGAUCCCGAAGGCUGCGCUUGCGCUGUGCGGGUUCUUGCCCGAGUUCUGCGCGACGGAGUACGCGACGCUGCGGGAGCAGCUGGCUGCGCGGUUUGGCGGCCACGGGCUGGAGAUCUCGCUGUUUGUGGCGAUCCCGACGGGGUCCGGGCUGGGCACGAGCUCCAUCGUUGCCGGCACCGUGCUGCGGUCGCUGGCGGAGUUCUGCAAGCUGCCGUGGGACAACCACGAUGUGUGCCGCCGCGUGCUGCUGAUUGAGCAGAUGCUGACUGCUGGUGGCGGGUGGCAGGAUCAGUACGGCGGCCUGUUCGAGGGCCUGAAGCUUGUGCAGUGCGUGCCUGGGCUGCCGUGCCUGCCGACGGUGCGCUGGAUGCCGGACAGCGUGUACACGGACCCGAGGUUCGCCGCGUGCCACCUGCUGUACUACACGGGCAUCACUCGCAUGGCAAAGAGCAUUCUCGGCGAGAUUGUGCGCGAUGUCUUUCUGAACAAUGGCGCGACACUGCAGCUGCUGCGUGAGAUGGGUGGGCCCACCACUGCCGCGAUGUACGACGCGAUCACGGCGGGCAACUACAAGGGCUACGCGCGGCUUGUGCACCGGACGUGGGAGCAGAAGAAGCGGCUGGACGACGGCGUGUGCAACCCUGCCGUGCAGUCGAUCGUGGACGUUGUGGAGCCGUACGUGUGGGGUCUGACGCUGCCCGGCGCUGGCGGUGGCGGCUACAUGUACAUGUGCGCGAAGGACGAGGCGUGCGCUCGCCGGAUCCGCGAGCUGCUGACGGCGAACCCGCCGAACGGCAAUGCCCGCUUCGUGGAGAUGAGCGUGUCGGCGUCUGGCCUCCAGAUCAGUCGGUCUUAGAGGCGUGCGGCGGCGUGAGGCGCUGCUGAGGGGCGCCGGCGCAACGGUCCCCGAGAGACGCGCGCACGCGCACGUAGGCAAAUCCGGAAGGACGGCGGCUCACGGAAGACCGUCUCGCCCCCAUCCCCGUUGGUCUCUGCGGACUGUUCGAGCGAUGCAAGGGCACAGCACGGACAACACCCGCGACGCAAAGGACGACUGCUGCUUGUCUGUCUGUUUCUUCUGCUCUGCGGGGAGGGAGUUGGACGUCUGCUUCAUGAGCGCUCGUCUACACGUGUGCCUCCGAGGCCGUUGCUGGCCAGCCAGCGGAUCAGCUCUCUGCGUCCAUUCCCGCCGCUUUUCCUGCUGCUGCUUUCGUUUCUCCUAUAUCUGCUUCGUUGUUUAUUUGUGAAACCCGCUUUUUGCACCCUCUCCGCUUGCGGCGAGGUUAUUGCCUCUUCGAUGCUCAGCCGCACUAUAUGCAGUGGCGUCGUCGUGUUGCCUCUUCGUAUGCUUGCGUAGUUUUCUCGCGCGGUCUCGUGUCUCUAUCGAGGUCUCUUGCCCAUGCCGUAUUCUGGGGACGCCGCUGAGGCCACGCUGCUACCGCGUCCAUCCUCUGUUUUUUUGACUGUAGGCUUCUGGGGCGUCCCCUUGCCCCCCCCCCCCCCCCCAACGGGCAAGAGAAGAAAUGAAGUGGGACGGGUUUGAGGGGGGCGGAAGGACUGCUGAUGAAGGGUUGUUUUCUGAGCGUGCGCCAUCAUAUCCGUCAGCCACGCGCGGCUUGCUCUCGUUGCAAGACCAGUGAAGCGAGCAGAAAGGAAUCGAACCUAACCGUAAAGUACACACACACACACACACACACACACGGAGGAAAACGGUGCGGGGCCGUUUCAGGCGCGACGCUCAUUCAACUCUCAUUCGCUCCGCCGCACCAAUGGCGUCUCUGGUCUAUCCUCUCUCUCUGGCUGUCUCUGAGGCGAAGGCGCUCAUGGUGACGAUCACGCCAUGCGCCUUAACCCCGAACGCCGCAUUGAACCUCUCUCUCUUCCUCCUCGCCGUCCCGCGCCCCACGUCCCCUCUCUCGGUUCCUCAUCUGCCACAG
rnacentral:misc_RNA from 1 species